AGGAAAUACAAUGUAGAGGUUGCGAAGAACGUAGGUACAGGAGAAACCCCGUAUCCACAGGGGAUACGUUCCGGAACCUGCCAUGGAUACUGAAACUGUGGACAGUAGCAAACCCUAUACAGGUCUCCCUCCAUAUUCGCGAGGGUUAGGGGAUCAAGAACCUCGCGAAUGUUGAAAAAUCGCGAAUGCUAGGUGCGCAAAUAUAUUGUAGGGAAAUGUAAUAAUAGUAUUUACUUAGCCUAACAAUACCGCUUCCUUAACCUACUGAACCAUGAAAAAUCAUAAAACGCAUGAAAACAUCGUAAAAUAUUGUACUAGUGCCAACCUUUUGGUAAAGAAGGUGAAAAAGACUAUAGAAUUCAAGAAAGAACUCACAGCAGAGUACCAAGGCGGAGGAGGAAGAGAGAGGGGAAGAAUGUGCCUUCAGUGAUUCUAUGAUAUGUACAAUACUAAAGCAGCACAAGUCGAUAAAGCCUAUAGCGCCAGCCAGCGAUAAAGUGUAGUAUUAACAAUGUAGCAACUAAGUUAAGCAAUUAAUCGACAGAAAAAGAACAGCACGAACCUAACUCCUCCAAUGUUGUUGGCAUUAUAUAGGGCGACUGACAACACCGCCGUUUCUAGUCUCUACCGCCUCCACCACCACCAUGUACGGCUUAUGUCUCAGUGGCCAUUAUACAUCCAACACAACAACACUCAUGACAUACUUAAUGACGUAUUUUAUUCAUUCUAGAGUGUAUGUCAUGUUUCUAUGUUUUAAUAUUGUUUAUUAUGUCAUAUUAGAUGAAUUGUGAGAGAUAAAUAAGCCAUAGAGUUGAUAUUAGUGUCAUAAUGAAGGACUAUCUUGCCCUAUCUCCAAACAAACUCUGCCACCACCACAAUUCCUAACAUAUGUAAUGACAUAUUUUAAAUGUGAUUGGGCGGCUGGGAAUUCACGAAUGUUCGAAGCCUGCAAAUGUUGAGGGAGACCUGUAUAUUGUAUUUUGCGGCUUAUCAAACACAUUUCUUUUUUUCAGAAAAUGUCUCCAAAAACCAGCCUGCAUCCUAUAAACUGAAGUCAUUGCAGAGAGAGCAUUCCGCAUGUGGUCAUCGUCCUCAGUGAAAGCUAGCCACAAUUGGUUUAUCGUCGCAGGUAACGAGGCCACCACUAGACCACUGAGGCAGCCACUGAAGGCAGUUACCCGGCACCUGUGGAAAGACUGUGGGUCACAGAUAUGACUAAAGUCCAACAGCACAAAGAAAUCCACUAGAAGGCGCGAGUAUAGUUAAAGUGAAGGGACGUUUUAUGACUUACUUGGCGCUAGACUGAGUGAGAAUGGUAAUAUGCUCGUCUGAUGAGCCAGCUCUGGGCAGCUGCCAAUCA